rnacentral:snoRNA from 1 species
UCGAGGCUUGAUCGAAGUCACUUCAGUUUUUGUAUGAAUUGUGGUGGUCAAAAGUAAGCCAAAAUAAAACCUUUCAGACAGUCGCUAUUUGGUUUAACAUAGCUUUAUAGCAUUACCAAAUGUCAGUACAGAU